rnacentral:rRNA from 1 species
CGGGGUGGAGUAAUGUCUGGGAAACUGCCUGAUGAGGGGGGAUAACUACUGGAAACGGUAGCUAAUACCGCAUAAUGUCGCAAGACCAAAGGGGGGGACCUUCGGGCCUCUUGCCAUCGGAUGUGCCCAGAUGGGAUUAGCUAGUAGGUGGGGUAACGGCUCACCUAGGCGACGAUCCCUAGCUGGUCUGAGAGGAUGACCAGCCACACUGGAACUGAGACACGGUCCAG